GUAGGUGAACCUGCGGAAGGAUCAUUAACACGUAUCCACGUAUCAACCCCUCUGUGCAAACUAUUCUCGUUGAGGCCGGUCUAGUGUGCUCUUGCUUAUCAUGGGAUCUUAAUGAUGGGAGCUCCCCCUUCUGGGGGGGCUCGGGAUCUCGAGCGAGCACGCGUUUUGACGAUCAGCCGCUAUUUUUCCAUCGUUAGCCCUUUAUAACUUUUAACCCCUUUGUACUUUUUUGUACUGAACCAAUUCUUCG
rnacentral:misc_RNA from 1 species